rnacentral:rRNA from 1 species
GCGGCUGAAUUAACAAAGAUAUGAAUGGGUUUGGUCUUUAUUUGCGCAGUAUAGGUGGGAGGCAUUGAAGAAAUUCUUGUGGGAAUUUUGGAGCCAUUAGUGAGAUACCACUCUAAUAAAGUUCGAAUUCUAACCUUAAUCCGUAAUCCGGUUAGGGAACACUCUCAGGUGGGCAGUUUGACUGGGGCGGUCGCCUCCUAAAAGGUAACGGAGGCGCACAAAGGUUUCCUCAGAUCGUAUAGAAAUCGAUCGUAGAGUGUAAAGGCAUAAGGAAGCUUGACUGCGAGACCUACAAGUCGAGCAGAGACGAAAGUCGGUCUUAGUGAUCCGACGAUACUGAGUGGAAAGGUCGUCGCUCAACGGAUAAAAGUUACUCUAGGGAAACCAGGCUGAA